GCCGCGCUCGGCGGCACUGGUACCUCCUGGUCUCCUGUCGCCGUGUCUCCGUGCCUCUGCUUUAUUGACCUCAGCUCGCUGAAACAGAGAGUGAAUUAUAAUGACACACUAUCAAAUGUUGCACCAUCCUUGGAUUCCUGAGAUAACCCUACUGAGUUGGCUGUAUGGUGAGAAGCCAUCUGGUGAAGGGGCUCUUCGAGGUGGUGUGAUUCUCCCGCUCUGAAACUUCACAACAUAUAAAAAUUAGGGGAAUUCCCUGGUGGCACAGUGGUUAAGAAUCCACCUGCCAAUGCAGGGGACACGGGUUCGAGCCCUGGUCCGGGAAGAUCCCACACGCCGCAGAUCAACUAAGCCCGUGCACCACAACUACUGAGCCUGAGCUCUAGAGCUCGCGAGCCACAACUACUGAGCCCACGUGCCACAACUACUAAAGCCCGUGCGCCUAGAGCCUGUGCUCCGCAACAAGAAGCCACCGCGCAAUGAGAGGCCUGCACACCGCAAAGAAGAGUAACCCCCGCUGGCCCCAACUAGAGAAAACCCACACACAGCAACAAAGACCCAAUGCAGCCAAAAAUAAAAUUAAAUAAAUUUUAAAAAUUAAGAAAUGCUUUAAAAAGAUAAAAAUUAGGUAAAUUGCUCACUUCUCCAUUAGAAAAAAGUUACGUAAAAAAAGGUCAUAGCAGACACCAUUUUCAUAUUCUGAAAAAAAUGCCUCAAUAUAUAAUAUGAUGGGACAAAAUGUAUUUUGCAAACGCAUUUGUCUGACAUA